rnacentral:rRNA from 1 species
UACGUAGGGUGCAAGCGUUUGUCCGGAAUUAUUGGGCGUAAAGAGCUCGUAGGCGGUUUGUCGCGUCUGCUGUGAAAAUCCGGGGCUCAACCCCGGACUUGCAGUGGGUACGGGCAGACUAGAGUGCGGUAGGGGAGAUCGGAAUUCCUGGUGUAGCGGUGAAAUGCGCAGAUAUCAGGAGGAACACCGGUGGCGAAGGCGGAUCUCUGGGCCGUAACUGACGCUGAGGAGCGAAAGCGUGGGGAGCGAACAGG